rnacentral:rRNA from 1 species
AUUGAACGCUGGCGGCAGGCCUAACACAUGCAAGUCGAACGGAGUGGCGGACGGGUGAGUAAUGUCUGGGAAACUGACCGAUGGAGGGGGAUAACUACUGGAAACGGUAGCUAAUACCGCAUACUAUCAGAUGAGCCCAGGUCGGAUUAGCUAGUUGGUGGGGUAAAGGCCAACCAAGGCGACGAUCUGUAACUGGUCUGAGAGGAUGACCAGGCACACUGGAACUGAUACACGGUCCAGACUCCGACGGUAGGCAGCAGUGGGGAAUAUUGGACAAUGGACGAAAGCCUGAUCCAGUCAUGCCGCGUGUGUUAAGGAGGUCUUCGGAUUGUAAAUCACUUUAAGUUGGGAGGCGUUACCAACAGAAUAAGCACCGGCUAACUUCGUGCCAGCCGCCGCGGUAAUAC